UACGUAGGGUGCAAGCGUUGUCCGGAAUUAUUGGGCGUAAAGGGUUCGUAGGCGGCUUGUCGCGUCGACUGUGAAAACCCGUGGCUCAACUGCGGGCCUGCAGUCGAUACGGGCAGGCUAGAGUUCGGUAGGGGAGACUGGAAUUCCUGGUGUAGCGGUGAAAUGCGCAGAUAUCAGGAGGAACACCGGUGGCGAAGGCGGCUCUCUGGACCGAGACUGACGCUGAGGCGCGAAAGCGUGGGGAGCAAACAGG
rnacentral:rRNA from 1 species